GUGGGGAAUUUUGGACAAUGGGCGCAAGCCUGAUCCAGCAAUGCCGCGUGCAGGAAGAAGGCCUUCGGGUUGUAAACUGCUUUUGUACGGAACGAAACGGUCCUGGUUAAUACCUGGGGCUAAUGACGGUACCGUAAGAAUAAGCACCGGCUAACUACGUGCCAGCAGCCGCGGUAAUACGUAGGGUGCAAGCGUUAAUCGGAAUUACUGGGCGUAAAGCGUGCGCAGGCGGUUUUGUAAGACAGGCGUGAAAUCCCCGGGCUCAACCUGGGAAUGGCGCUUGUGACUGCAAGGCUGGAGUGCGGCAGAGGGGGAUGGAAUUCCGCGUGUAGCAGUGAAAUGCGUAGAUAUGCGGAGGAACACCGAUGGCGAAGGCAAUCCCCUGGGCCGGCACUGACGCUCAUGCACGAAAGCGUGGGGAGCAAACAGGAUUAGAUACCCGGGUAGUCC
rnacentral:rRNA from 1 species